rnacentral:rRNA from 1 species
GAUGAACGCUGGCGGCGUGCCUAAUACAUGCAAGUCGAGCGAACAGACGAUGCUUUUGUUCCUCUCACGUUAGCGGCGGACGUGUGUGUAACACGUGUAUCACCUACUUAUAAGACUGGGAUAUCUUCGGGACUCCGGCUCUUAUACCGUAUAAUAUACUGAACCGCAUUGUUCAAUAGAGAAAUACGGUUUUGCUGUCUCUUAUCGCUGCUUCCGGGCCGCUUUAGCUAGUUGGUACGGUCACGGCUUUCCAAGGCAACGAUGCGUAGACGACCUGAGAGGGUGAUAGGCCACACUGGAACGGGGACACGGUCCAGACUCCUACGGGAGGCAGCAGUAGGGAAUCUUCCGCAAUGGGCGAAAGCCUGACGGAACAGCGCCGCGUGAGUGAUGAAGGUCUUCGGAUCGUAAAACUCUGUUAUUAGGGAAGAACAAAUGUGUAAGUAACUAUGCACGUCUUGACGGUACCUAGUCAGAAAGCCACGGCUAACUACGUG